AUGGAGCCAGGAUCCAAACAAGAUGGAGAUGUUAACAUGACGAGGGCAAUGGAGGCUUUGUCCCCUUGGUUGAACCACCCAAGGAAGACGAUCGUCCAGGUUGAAGUUCUGGUGGUAACGGCCGCUGCGCUGCUGCUUCUCCAACUCAUCUUGGGCUCCUGCAAGCGGCGCUGGCAUCAUUCCUUCGUCAAAGGUGGCUUGAGCGUGUGUGGAACACUUGUGCCCCCUCUUGUCCUCUUCACAUUGGGUAUGAUGCAGUCCUUCCCAAUCAAGAGUUCAUCGUAUCCUGUCUGGUCUGCUAUCCUCAUCAUGGCUUCAGUGGGCACGACGGGCGUCCAGCAAUAUGAUUUCUAUUGCAGCCACGAUAAAAAGCACAUGCAGGUUCUUGUCGAGCUAGGUAAAUAUUGUGCAUACUUGAUUCGAUCUGUCCCAGAACUGCUUCCGUACCACGAGGUGGAUAUAGAAGAGUUGAAAGCAAGGGUGCUGAAAGAACGUAAGCAGCUUUUUGGAUCCUAUAAAUAUUCUGAGAUAUACGAUAAAAUGAAGAAUUUAGAAGGGACAGAAGAAGGAGAUGACCCUGUGACAGUCUUCAAGAAAGGAGUGAAGCUUGGUAAGCAGCUCACGAGCAUGCCGGAAGAGCUUCAGCACUGGAAGGUGAUGGGGGAUUUCUGGGCUGAGACAAUCAUCUAUGUCGCGCCCUCGCACUCCACUGCGAAGCAACACAUGCAGCAUCUUGAGAAUGGCGGGCAGUUCCUCACCCAUAUCUGGGCUCUGCUUUCUCAUGCUGGUAUCCUGAACCUUAACAGGGACAAGGAUCAGGGGCACAGGAAGAGCCUGCAUCUGUAUGAUUCAUGUCGACAGCGGACCAGCCUCCGCCGCCUCCCUUUCGCCACAAGCUGGUUACUUUGUGAUUUCCCAUCAGUAUUUAUUUUCCAAAAUGGCAGUGUUUCUUGUGUUGCCGUUCUUAAUGUUUGUACUAUGAAUAAUUGA
rnacentral:rRNA from 1 species